UAUCAUUCUCAGUUUGCUAUUUAUUAUGUGUUUACAGCACCCUCUGUGGUUGCUCCGAAUAAUGCACUUUAGAAACCGCUUUAUUUUGAAAGAGGAAAAAACUUUAUUGAACAGGAAGUAGGCUCAGUUAAGAAAAGCGAGUAAGCAAAAAGAAGGGAAACAUAUCAGCACGCACUUUAUGGUGUCCUGUUGGAGAAAAUACUGUCUACAUCUUCUGUUUAUGGUUGUAUCGCCGUUUUACCCUUUUGAAUGUCAGUAAACCUGUUGACAACGUU